CCCUUAGAUGUUCUGGGCCGCACGCGUGCUACACUGAGUGGAUCAGCGGGUCAGGUUGCGCGAAAGUGUUUCCUAAUCUUGAAAUCCGCUCGUGAUGGGGAUUGACGGUUGCAAUUUUCCGUCAUGAACGAGGAAUACCUUGUAAGCGCGGGUCAUCAUCCCGCGCUGAAUACGUCCCUGCCCUUUGUACACACCGCCCGUCGCUCCUACCGAUUGAGUGGUCCGGUGAGGCUUUGGGAUCUGAGCGGAAAGAGCGUUUCGCUGUUUCUGCCCGGAAAACUCAGUCGAACCUUAUCAUUUAGAGGAAGGUGAAGUCGUAACA
rnacentral:rRNA from 1 species